AGAGACAUCCUGGCCUCCACGUAGAGGAAUGUGUGAUGGACAUAUAUUUGAGGAAGACACUAAACCAGAGACUACUACAUUAUACCCUCUUAGAAGACUUCUAAGAUUGUUGUCAUGCCUACCAUGGACAUUCAGAUGAUGUGUAUUCUUGAUUGUGAUUUCAAGUUUGGAGCUGAUGAAGGAACCCAGUAGAUGAACAUAUGCCUGAGAAGAAAAACUAGCAUGGAACUGUCAGCCAGGUUUUUGAUGAGUGCUCAGACUGUUUCCUGAUCCGGCACCACAUUAACUACAGUGGACAGAUGCUCUAGUCUCUGAUGAGGAGUUGCUAGCUGUUAGGAAGUACCUGGAAUGGGCUACACUGCAUGAGGUUUGGAGUCUCCAGAGCAGCAAGGAGAGUGGGGAGCAGAACUCAUCAUCUUUAGGGCACUCAUCAUCG